AGUCGAGCGGAUGAAGGGAGCUUGCUCCCGGAUUUAGCGGCGGACGGCCCUUUAAUGCCUAGGAAUCUGCCUGGUAGUGGGGGACAACGACUCGAAAGGGUCGCUAAUACCGCAUACGUCCUACGGGAGAAAGUGGGGGAUCUUCGGUCCUCACGCUAUCAGAUGAGCCUAGGUCGGAUUAGCUAGUAGGUGAGGUAAUGGCUCACCUAGGCAACGAUCCGUAACUGGUCUGAGAGGAUGAUCAGUCACACUGGAACUGAGACACGGUCCAGACUCCUACGGGAGGCAGCAGUGGGGAAUAUUGGACAAUGGGCGAAAGCCUGAUCCAGCCAUGCCGCGUGUGUGAAGAAGGUCUUCGGAUUGUAAAGCACUCUAAGUUGGGAGGAAGGGUUGUAGUUUAAUACGCUGCAAUCUUGACGUUACCAACAGAAUAAGCACCGGCUAACUCUGUGCCAGCAGCCGCGGUAAUACAGAGGGUGCAAGCGUUAAUCGGAAUUACUGGGCGUAAAGCGCGCGUAGGCGGCUUGAUAAGAUGGGUGUGAAAUCCCCGGGCUUAACCUGGGAACUGCAUCCAUAACUGUCUGGCUAGAGUACAGUAGAGGGUGGUGGAAUUUCCUGUGUAGCGGUGAAAUGCGUAGAUAUAGGAAGGAACACCAGUGGCGAAGGCGACCACCUGGACUGAUACUGACGCUGAGGUGCGAAAGCGUGGGGAGCAAACGGGAUUAGAUACCCUGGUAGUCCACCCCGUAAACGAUGGUCUACUAGCCGUUGGAAUCCUUGAAAUUUUAGUGGCGCAGCUAACCCACUAAGUAGA
rnacentral:rRNA from 1 species